rnacentral:rRNA from 1 species
GACGAACGCUGGCGGCGUGCUUAACACAUGCAAGUCGAACGAAGAGCGACGGAAGCUUGCUUCUAUCAAUCUUAGUGGCGAACGGGUGAGUAACGCGUAAUCAACCUGCCCUUCAGAGGGGGACAACAGUUGGAAACGACUGCUAAUACCGCAUACGAUCUAAUCUCGGCAUCGAGGAUAGAUGAAAGGUGGCCUCUACAUGUAAGCUAUCACUGAAGGAGGGGAUUGCGUCUGAUUAGCUAGUUGGAGGGGUAACGGCCCACCAAGGCGAUGAUCAGUAGCCGGUCUGAGAGGAUGAACGGCCACAUUGGGACUGAGACACGGCCCAGACUCCUACGGGAGGCAGCAGUGGGGAAUCUACCGCAAUGGACGAAAGUCUGACGGAGCAACGCCGCGUGAGUGAUGACGGCCUUCGGGUUGUAAAGCUCUGUUAAUCGGGACGAAAGGCCUUCUUGCGAAUAGUGAGAAGGAUUGACG